rnacentral:lncRNA from 12 species
UGGGCGUGAAAUGAGGAGGCAAGGGACCUCUGAGAAAAUUCUACUCCGCAGUUCUGCUGGGCCUGGAUCCUGAAUCCACAUGUACCACAUAUGCCUUCAGAAAUGUGAGUUUGGAAGAGUUUAAGGAGUAGUCAGGAUAGUUCUCUGAGAAGGACAACAUCAGAGGGAGUCAAUCUUCACUAAUCAGGCCUAGCAACUUCCCCAUUUUCCAGAAAGUUUUGAGAACAUGAGUAGCUAAGUUAUUCCUUCCUGCUUGCUCCUUAUCUGAGAGAGGUAAAACCAAAUUGAUUUACCUCUGGGCAUGUUAGAAGUGCAACCCGGGAGGUUCCCAGCUGUGGAGACUGAGAGAUCAGAGAAUCAGAGAUAGAAUAAGGAGGGUGGGGGCUGAGGAAGGAGAAGUUCAACCAGACCAAUAAAAUGAAAGAAGUGAUAUGAGCGAUAUUUAUGACACCUGGGAGUUGGAAGACUGUCUCAGAUGGAAAUCCUGGGGCUGCACUUGUAGGCGAAGAUCACUUUCUUCCCUUCCGCAUUCCGGACCUGUGCCCAGAGGGCUUCGGUGCGCAGGGAGGGUAGAGUCCAAAAUGAGCUCACUGGCAUCAAAAUCCCCUAAGGCUUCUGAACAUGGAACUGGACAUUUUUCACAUUCUCUAGAGAUAUUGGCUUACAUUUAAACUUCAUUCCCUUCCCAUUCCUCCUCCUUGUCACUCCAACUAAAUGAAUUAUCUUAGCAUGUCCCUCACACAUUCAACCAUUUCAAAAUAAACUCACCUCCUGGACAGAGGGUAGUUUUAGG